rnacentral:rRNA from 1 species
GACGAACGCUGGCGGCGUGCUUAACACAUGCAAGUCGAACGGAAAGGCCCUGCUUUUGUGGGGUGCUCGAGUGGCGAACGGGUGAGUAACACGUGAGUAACCUGCCCUUGACUUUGGGAUAACUUCAGGAAACUGGGGCUAAUACCGGAUAGGAGCUCCUGCUGCAUGGUGGGGGUUGGAAAGUUUCGGCGGUUGGGGAUGGACUCGCGGCUUAUCAGCUUGUUGGUGGGGUAGUGGCUUACCAAGGCUUUGACGGGUAGCCGGCAUGAGAGGGUGACCGGCCACAUUGGGACUGAGAUACGGCCCAGACUCGUACGGGAGGCAGCAGUGGGGAAUAUUGCACAAUGGGCGGAAGGCUGAUGCAGCAACGCCGCGUGCGGGAUGACGGCCUUCGGGUUGUAAACCGCUUUCGCCUGUGACGAAGCGUGAGUGACGGUAAUGGGUAAAGAAGCACCGGCUAACUACGUG